AGAUGUUGUUGGACUACAAGUCCCAUCAGCCCUAGCUGGCAUAGCCAAUGGUCAGGGGUGGUGGGACUUGAAGUCUAACAGCAUCU